rnacentral:rRNA from 1 species
GAUGAACGCUGGCGGCGUGCUUAACACAUGCAAGUCGAACGAAGCACCUUAUUCUGAUUUCUUCGGAAUGAAAAAUUUGGUGACUGAGUGGCGGACGGGUGAGUAACGCGUGGGUAACCUGCCUCAUACAGAGGGAUAACAGUUAGAAAUGACUGCUAAUACCGCAUAAGACCACAGCACCGCAUGGUGCAGGGGUAAAAACUCCGGUGGUAUGAGAUGGACCCGCGUCUGAUUAGGUAGUUGGUGGGGUAACGGCCUACCAAGCCGACGAUCAGUAGCCGACCUGAGAGGGUGACCGGCCACAUUGGGACUGAGACACGGCCCAAACUCCUACGGGAGGCAGCAGUGGGGAAUAUUACACAAUGGGGGAAACCCUGAUGCAGCGACGCCGCGUGAGCGAUGAAGUAUUUCGGUAUGUAAAGCACUAUCAGCAGGGAAGAAAAAGACGGUACCUGACUAAGAAGCACCGGCUAAAUACGUGCCAGCAGCCGCGGUAAAAC